rnacentral:rRNA from 1 species
GUCGUAACAAGGUUUCCGUAGGUGAACCUGCGGAAGGAUCAUUACCGAGUUCUCGGGCUUCGGCUCGAAUCUCCCACCCUUUGUGAACAUACCUCUGUUGCUUUGGCGGCUCUUUGCCGCGAGGAGGCCCUCGCGGGCCCCCCCGCGCGCUUUCCGCCAGAGGACCUUCAAACUCCAGUCAGUAAACGUCGACGUCUGAUAAACAAGUUAAUAAACUAAAACUUUCAACAACGGAUCUCUUGGUUCUGGCAUCGAUGAAGAACGCAGCGAAAUGCGAUAAGUAAUGUGAAUUGCAGAAUUCAGUGAAUCAUCGAAUCUUUGAACGCACAUUGCGCCCCCUGGCAUUCCGGGGGGCAUGCCUGUUCGAGCGUCAUUACAACCCUCAAGCUCUGCUUGGUAUUGGGCGCCGUCCUCUCUGCGGACGCGCCUUAAAGACCUCGGCGGUGGCUGUUCAGCCCUCAAGCGUAGUAGAAUACACCUCGCUUUGGAGCGGUUGGCGUCGCCCGCCGGACGAACCUUCUGAACUUUUCUCAAGGUUGACCUCGGAUCAGGUAGGGAUACCCGCUGAACUUAAGCAUAUCAAU